UACGGGGGGGGCAAGCGUUGUUCGGAAUUACUGGGCGUAAAGGGCUUGUAGGUGGCCAACUAAGUCAGACGUGAAAUCCCUCGGCUUAACCGGGGAACUGCGUCUGAUACUGGAUGGCUUGAGGUUGGGAGAGGGAUGCGGAAUUCCAGGUGUAGCGGUGAAAUACGUAGAUAUCUGGAGGAACACCGGUGGCGAAGGCGGCGUUCUGGACUGCAACUGACACUGAAAAACGAAAGCCAGGGGAGCAAACGGG
rnacentral:rRNA from 1 species